CUUCGAUGUGUAUAAACACUAAGUGUAUACAAGUCAGUCCUCUUAAGGGGAGCAUAAAUGGUGGUAUAUCUGAAUGAGCUUGUGGAAGAACUCUCAAUGGAAAAAAUAUCCAGGCCGUCAUGGAAAAUUUGCAGUUUGCCACAAAAAAAACAAAGUAAUAGAAUAAAGAAUAAGAAGGAACAAAAGCAUAAAAUUUACUGGUAUAAUAUGAAGGAAUGCAGUGACACUACGAUUUUACCCGACAACAUGACCGUCAAUACCUUUUUCCCAACAAAACUUUACGUGACAUGAUGUGAUGGUCCAUUGGCGGGCUGUAUGACUGCCAGCAUAUGAAACAUAUUGUGGAACCUCACCUGUUUUUUUCUUACAUAGCUAAUAAUAUUCAUAAACAAUG